CUAGUGUUCACCGGACACAAGACAUCUGAGCUGCGAAAGUCAUAAAGGCCCCUGAAAAACAAAAAAGAGCAUUUGAAAAUAGCACCUGUGCACCGGCCUCCUGGAGUGUGCUGUCCAUCAGCGGGAUGUUGUGUGCUGCUGUUGUUCGAGGUUGCCACGGUUCCACUCUCUGCUGUCAAGGUGGACGGCAGUCACCGGGGUGAAUGGAUGUGAAUGCAGGAGCAGCAUGGUCAUCACUGCAGGCAUACAGAGGAGUGGAAGGAAGGACAAUAGAGUAAUGUUAUGCUGCGCUUCCCUGGUGGGACUCCUGCCUGCUAUUCCAAACUGGUGGGACGGUUGAUCGUCAUCUACUGAAGUAUGUCUUGGCCCAUCAGAGGCGGCUGGCUGCCAGGACUCCUCUCAGCUCACUCCCCGAAGACCCCUGGCUCCACAGAAACAGGAAAUGAAACAUGGCAGUGCAGCAUGGAGAAUUCCAUGGGUGAGGACCCGCUUCCUAUGUCGACGGAAACGGCUUAUUCUAAGAAAAGACGGCGGACCCUCUGCCUGCUGAGGGGAGGACAAGAGCCGUGUUAACUGUUAAGAGACAGAGGAGGGAUCUGGGAUGCAUGUGACCCCUGCAGCAGGCUGCUUUACCUGUCAAAUCCCCAACAACCAGAGGC